rnacentral:rRNA from 1 species
GUGCCAGCCGCCGCGGUAACACGUAGGGUGCGAGCGUUGUCCGGAAUUAUUGGGCGUAAAGAGCUCGUAGGCGGUGUGUCGCGUCGGCCGUGAAAACUUUCAGCUUAACUGGGAGCUUGCGGUCGAUACGGGCAUCACUGGAGUUCGGCAGGGGAGACUGGAAUUCCUGGUGUAGCGGUGAAAUGCGCAGAUAUCAGGAGGAACACCGGUGGCGAAGGCGGGUCUCUGGGCCGAUACUGACGCUGAGGAGCGAAAGCGUGGGGAGCGAACAGGAUUAGAAACCCGAGUAGUCC